CCAAACAGUAAAAAAAAGUCUAUUUGUUAGCGUCCUUUGUGAAAUUGUCAAGUGUUAGAAUUAUUGUUUGCGAAAGUUGAUUAUUUGAGGACCUUCCAUGGACCAGUCUAAGCAGGUUUUGCGGGACUAUUGCGGCGACGGCAAUGGUACCUGUACAUCGUCCUUGAAGGAAAUCACUUUGAUUGAGACCGUGACCAGUUUUCUGGAGGAGAAUGGCGCCUCCGAAAUCGACAAAAGGGUCCUGCGCAAACUGGCCGAGGCGCUGUCCAAAAGCAUAGACGACACCAGUCCGGGAGCCCUGCAAGAUGUCACCAUGGAGAACUCAUAUGCCAGUUUUGACGUUCCGCGACCUCCAGGUGGCGGCAACUCUCCCUUGCCGCCGCAGGGUCGCUCUGUGCGCGAGUUGGAGGAGCAGAUGUCCGCGCUGCGUAAGGAGAACUUCAAUCUAAAGCUGCGCAUCUACUUCCUGGAGGAGGGUCAGCCGGGUGCCCGGGGAGACAGUUCUUCAGACUCCUUAAGCAAACAGCUCAUCGAUGCCAAGAUCGAAAUCGCGACGUUGAGAAAAACCAUCGACGUAAAGAUGGAGCUGCUCAAGGAUGCCGCUCGAGCCAUUUCUCACCACGAGGAAUUGCAGCGCAAAGCGGACUUAGAAAGCCAGGCAAUAAUCGACGAGUUGCAAGAGCAAAUAAACGCCUAUCAGGUGGCGGAGUCUGGUGGUCAACCUGUCGAAAAUAUUGCUAGCACCAGGAAAAUGCUGCGCCUUGAAUCGGAGGUGCAGAGAUUGGAGGAGGAACUGGUGAAUAGCGAAGCUCGUAACGUAGCGGCCCGGAACGAGCUGGAAUUCUUGUUGGCCGAGCGCAUGGAAUCCCUAACAGCCUGUGAGGGCAAGAUUCAAGAGCUGGCCAUCAAGAAUUCCGAACUGGUAGAGCGUCUUGAAAAGGAAACAGCAUCCGCCGAGUCAUCCAACGCCAAUCGGGAUCAGGGCGCCCAACUGGCGGAUAAGAUUUGCGAGCUACAGGACGCCCAGGAGAAGCUCAAGGAGCGCGAACGCAUCCACGAGCAGGCGUGCCGCACCAUUCAGAAGCUAAUGCAAAAGCUGAGCAGCCAGGAGAAGGAGAUAAAGAAACUUAAUCAAGAGAACGAACAGUCGGCAAACAAGGAGAACGACUGCGCUAAGACGGUAAUUUCGCCAUCCUCCAGCGGCCGUUCCAUGAGUGACAACGAGGCCAGCUCCCACGAAAUGUCCACCAACCUCAGGGUGCGCUACGAACUAAAGAUCAAGGAGCAGGAGGAGAAGAUCAAGCAGUUGGAGACGGAAGUAAAGAAGAAGACUGCGAAUCUGCAAAACCUGGUCAACAAGGAGCUAUGGGAGAAAAAUCGCGAGGUGGAGCGCCUCACUAAGCUGUUGGCUAACCAACACAAGACGUUGCCGCAGAUAAGCGAGGAAUCCGCCGGAGAAGCAGAUCUGCAGCAAUCCUUCACGGAGGCGGAGUACAUGAGGGCAUUGGAGCGAAACAAGCUGCUGCAGCGAAAGGUGGAUGUGCUCUUCCAGCGCCUGUCAGACGAUCAACAGAACAGUGCUGUGAUUGGGCAGUUGCGUUUGGAACUUCAACAAGCUCGCACGGAAGUCGAGACGGCGGAUAAGUGGCGUCUUGAAUGCGUAGAUGUCUGCAGUGUGCUGACGAACCGAUUGGAGGAGCUGGCUGGUUUCCUCAACUCUCUGCUGAAGCACAAAGAUGUUCUUGGUGUGUUGGCCGCAGAUCGACGCAAUGCUAUGCGUAAGGCGGUGGAUCGCAGCUUGGAUCUUUCCAAGAGUCUUAAUAUGACUCUGAAUAUAACAGCUACUUCCUUGGCUGACCAAAGCCUUGCUCAGCUGUGCAAUCUAUCCGAGAUUCUGUACACCGAAGGCGAUACAAGCCACAAAACUUUCAAUUCCCACGAGGAGCUGCACGCCGCUACUUCGAUGGCUCCGACUGUAGAGAACUUAAAGGCCGAGAAUAAGGCUCUUAAGAAGGAGUUGGAAAAGCGACGCAGCUCAGAGGGACAGAGGAAAGAGCGCCGCUCCUUACCGCUGCCCUCUCAGCAGUUGGAUAACCAGAGCGAGUCAGAGGCCUGGUCAGAGCCUGACCGCAAGGUUUCCUUGGCACGCAUUGGCCUAGACGAAACCUCCAACAGCUUGGCGGCGCCUGAGCAGGCGGUCAGCGAGUCGGAGAGCGAGGGAAGAACCUGCGCUACCCGUCAGGAUCGCAAUCGCAACAGCGAGCGUAUUGCCCAGCUGGAGGAGCAAAUUGCCCAGAAAGACGAACGUAUGCUUAAUGUGCAAUGCCAAAUGGUUGAGCUGGACAAUCGAUAUAAGCAGGAGCAAUUGCGCUGCCUGGAUAUCACUCAACAAUUGGAGCAAUUGCGAGUUAUCAACGAAGCUCUGACUGCGGACCUGCAAGCUAUAGGAUCACACGAAGAGGAACGCAUGAUCGAGUUGCAACGCCAGCUGGAGCUUAAGAACCAGCAGAUUGAUCAACUAAAACUGGCCCACAGCACUCUGACGGCAGAUUCGCAGAUAACCGAGAUGGAACUGCAGGCGCUGCAGCAGCAAAUGCAGGAAAUAGAGCAGCACCACGCCGAUUCAGUGGAAACCCUGCAAUCUCAGCUACAAAAACUCAAACUAGAUGCCGUGCAGCAGCUGGCAGAGCACGAGCGCCUGCAUCGCGAGGCUCUGGAACGCGACUGGGUGGCACUGACCACUUACCAGGAGCAGGCUCAACAGUUGUUGGAACUGCAACGAUCCCUGGACUAUCACCAAGAAAACGAGAAGGAGCUGAAGCAGACGCUUGUCGAGAACGAGCUGGCCACGCGGGCCCUCAAAAAGCAGCUGGACGAAAGCACUCUGCAGGCCUCCAAGGCGGUGAUGGAGCGCACGAAGGCCUACAACGACAAGCUGCAACUGGAGAAGCGUUCCGAGGAAUUGAGGCUGCAACUGGAGGCGCUCAAGAAAGAGCAGCAAAAGCUGCUGCAGAAGCGCUCCAACAGCAGCGACGUUUCCCAGUCCGGUUACACAUCCGAAGAGGUGGCGGUGCCCAUGGGGCCACCCUCGGGUCAGGCUACAACGUGCAAGCAGGCCGCUGCCGCAGUGGUGGGCCAGAGGGUGAACACAUCAUCUCCCGAUCUGGGCAUAGAAAGCGAUGCCGGCAGAAUAUCCAGCGUAGAAGUAUCCAACGCCCAGCGAGCGAUGCUCAAGACUGUAGAGAUGAAAACGGAGGGGUCAGCGAGCACAAAGGCAAAGUCAGAGGAAUCUUCUUCACCCGACAGCAAGAGCAACGUGGCAACUGGUGGUGCAGCCACAGUACACGACUGUGCCAAGGUAGAUCUUGAAAACGCCGAGUUGCGGCGCAAACUAAUCCGCACCAAGCGCGCAUUUGAAGACACCUACGAAAAGUUGCGUAUGGCUAACAAAGCAAAAGCACAAGUUGAGAAAGACAUCAAGAAUCAAAUACUAAAAACGCACAAUGUGCUGCGAAACGUUCGCUCAAACAUGGAGAAUGAGUUAUAACGAUCGCGCCGACGUCCAGUAUAUCAGCAUUAACCCGAGAGGCCAUUCACCCAAUGUUCAAUUGCCAUUUCUUGCCAUUCUUAUAUUUUAGACCGUAAACAACGAAGCUAUUAGUACGAAAUACCCAUGCAUUUUCUAAAGACUGUUGAGGGAAUCGAACCCAUUGAAUGAACUAUCACACACACACACCUGUUUUAAGCACAAAACAAAGCUAACUUGAAACUGAGUGCUGACAAUAUGUAUCUAACCCGGCGCACUCAUUCAUAUUGAAUGACAUAUGUAUAUUAGAAUGUAUAUAUAUAUAUAUCCCCUAGUACCAUAACUUUUACGAAUAUUCUCUAGCAUACUCGACCUGAUUCUUGUCUCGCAUAACCCUCCAUUUUCCAAUCACUUGCGUGUAGUUACUGCCUGAUUAAUGUAUUCUCCUGCUGCUUAACUGCUCUUAAUCCUUGAUUUCAGUUAACCAUCGAAACGGAUACUGAAAUAAUUGUUUGACUUGCCGGCCAAAACCGUUUAACUACGUUGCCAUCCAAUAACUCUUUUUGUUCGAAACAUCCAUUUGUACAAUGUGUAAAAAGUAGUGUGCGUUGUCCUGGAGAACAAGAUCUAGAACUUAAGUCAUUUGUACCCGUCGUUUUAUGGAAUAAACAAUUGCGUUAGAAUUA
rnacentral:misc_RNA from 1 species